UUGUAGCAGCCCCUGGAGAAAUACUCUCCUCCUGAUAGAUGUGAAGAAGGGAGCAUGAAGCCCCUAGAAGGUGCUGGAAACCACCUUGGAACCAUGAGGAAAGACAGCCUUUGAAUAGAUAUAGUAGAAGGCAGAGGAGGGAAUUUUCCAUAUGCAUAUCUUCAGUUCUUUCCUCAUGUGUGUCUCCAACUUCUUCUUCCACUCCGGGCUGGAGUCCCUCUAAAGCUGUCAACCUGUGCCUUCUCCUCAGCGUUCUCCUGAGUUGAAUCCUGAAUUGCUUGAAUCCCAUGACUUCCUCUCUCUUGGAUUACUUAAGAUUUGAUGGAACAUUUUCUCGAUGUUUUCUGAGUUUCAAUCAGGUCUGUCUCAGAAAGACACUGAACAGAAUUUAUACUUACUGAGUUAGAGAAAAUAGAAGAUCCGUUUCCCAUGUUAAACAAGAGCCCGCCUAUACAUGGAACAGUCACCAAAGAUGCUACAAAAAAGAAGCAAGAGAAAGAGAGAGAGAGGAACAGAGGGCAGAAAAAAAGGAAAGUAGAAGAGAAGACAAAGAUGGUGUCAAAAUAUUAACUAUCCUGACAAAGCAAACAAAAGUCAGAUGAAGACUCUGUGAGAGAAAACUAACUCGAGAAAUAAAAGCACAUUUCCCAUCAAUGUA